rnacentral:lncRNA from 1 species
ACCGGUCCUCCUCCCUCAGCCGUUCCCGGCCACCAUCCGACUCAAGGGAGGUGGUGAUCGACUUCCUUGGAGUCGCCGGUCUGUUUCCCAGCCUUCCCUGGCCCUGAUCGGAUCUCCAUCAACGCAAAGUGGAACUGUCUCCUUCGACAACUCCGCUCUCCGAUCUCAGGUGCGUCUCCAUCGUCUCCGGCAUUCUCAACGAGAAGGACGAGUACCGAUCAACUCGCCUCCUUCGUGCGAUCGUUUCUCCGCCUUAAACUCCUGCGAUGGCGCAAGGAGGAUGAACGCCAGGAGAGGAGGAAGCACAGCGGCUGUCAACGCCAUUUUCAGCCAAACGAGCCACCAUCUCAACAAACGAGCAAUGGAUUUGAGCUCUUUAGGAGAUUUCGAUCAUUUUGGUGUAAAUCUCGAAGAAUUCUGGAAAAUUUUCGGCCACCGUGCACAGCGGACGGCGGCGACGGUCUGGUGAAACGGCCGGCGAUAUUCCGGCGAGGCCUGUGAGACAGAAUUCUCUUCUCUUCGCGCUGAUCAUGGAAUCGUCACCCGAUUCUCAAUUGGUACGUUCUAAGACCAAUUUCCCCAUUAUCGGUAUAAAUUCUAAACUUAAUAAUUAUUAGUUAAUUAAAUUGAAUUUGAAUGAAUAAUCAAUCAAAUAUAAUUUUGCUAAGAAUAAGUCGGUAUAAUGUAGACUCUGAAUAUUAUUUAAUAUAUUUCAUGAACAUUAGUUACAACGAGGAGGUUCGGUAUUGAGAUAAGAAUUCCUAGCUAAUAAUUGCGUAAGCUAAAUUAGGAAUUUUAAUAAUUAUUGUUAGGAGGAGUUAUAAUUUAAGGCUUAGACAAGUAAAUAGUUAUAGAGCAAUUAAUAAUAUUAUUGAAUCAUGCUUGGAGGUUAAUAUCAAUUGUUAAUUAAUUGAUUUGGAAUUAUUAAGUAUAUAUAUGUGAGUGUGAUGGAUAAUAUAUAUAUCCUGAAGCGGAUGGGUUGGUUGGAUUGAUUGCCCGAUGGAUGGGAUCGAAUGAUUGAUAAAUAAGGUUAUGGCGGACGGGAUGAGUUGAUGUGAAUUGUCCGACAGAUAAGCUUUGAUAUUAUAUUGUUGAAUUGUGGUUUAGUCAAAUUUUAGGAGAGGUGCUGCCGAAAUUUCGAUAGAACCUAGACUAGUUUUAAUUAAUAACAUAAUUAAUAAGUUUAUUUAGAUUAAUUCUAUAACUUAAUACAUUUAAUUAUUACUCUAAUUAUUUUAUUAUUAUCAUUAUUAUUCAUGUAAUUAUUCAAUUAUUUAUUUAUUUUCAUUAUUAUUGUUUAUUAUUAUUAUUUAUCGUUGUGGUUUAUUGUUAAUAUUAUUUAUUUAUUUAUUUAUUCAUUUGCAUUUGAGUAUGGAUGUCUAAUUGUGCAUUGCAUUACAAUGUUUAAUUGAUCAAUAUGUCUGUAUUUAAUUGCAAUGUUUGAUUAGUUGUGAUGUGACAAUGUUUUGUCAUGUUUGUGUGGAAUUGGGAUGAAGUGGGUCACAAUGGGUUUGUGAGGAUAGUCAAUGAAAUAUGGAUCUUGAAUAUGAUGAAAUUAUGGAAUUGUGGAAUUUGACCGUCGGCCAGGUAAAUGGGAGAUCGGCACCCCCGUGUGCACCUGAUGAUAUGGAUUAUAUAGAAACCACAGGGUGGCUUCUUAGGCGCACCUGAUAAUUUGGAUUUUAUGGUAGCCUGCAGGGUGUCCUCCUAUUGUGUGAGCCGACGGAUCUAGAUUUGACGGAAACGACUGGGUUGCCUCCUGUUGGUAUGGAAAAGAAAAGAGAGAAUGGAAAAACAAUGAGAGGGCUGGUCAAGUGAGGAUUAGACUGGUCUGCCUUGUAUGGGGGAUCGGUUCCCUUGUGCGCACGUAUGAGAGGGCGAGCCAUGUGUGAGGACGGCUCGUUGGGGUUUCGGUGACGCUACUGAUUAAUAUCCACGUGAUGUGAUUAUGUGAAUAUGAAAUAAUUGUGAGUGCUGGUGAUAUGCCAUUUGUGUGACUGGCUAUGUGAGCAUAUAACUAGUCGGAUGACUACAUUGAUAUAUUUACACAUUUGUGUUUGCGUGUGUUGUGCAAUAACUAUUACUCCUUAGAAGGCUCACAUAUCUUGUUUAAUUUUUCAGGAAGUAAGUUUCUCUUUAAUUCGGUUAAGCUAUGUUUCUUCAUCGUAGGGCUAAAAAGAAAAUUUCCCUAGUUCAAUAAUUAUUUUGCCAUAUAUCUAUAUGUAUAAAAAAUCUAUGUAUAUCAAACAGUCAGUGACUCUGCAGUUGUAGAAUUUACAUAUAUUAGUCGUGUAUUAAUAUAGAUGAAAUGAUUCUGAGAGCUCAUGUUAUAAAUGUGAUGUAU